rnacentral:misc_RNA from 1 species
UCCGGCUUAUCACCGGCGGUUUCUUUAGAGUGCCCAACUAAAUGAUGGCAACUAAAGACGAGGGUUGCGCUCGUUGCGGGACUUAACCCAACAUCUCACGACACGAGCUGACGACGGCCAUGCAGCACCUGUCACUCGUCCAGCCGAACUGAAGGAAUCCAUCUCUGGAAUCCGCGACGAGGAUGUCAAACGCUGGUAAGGUUCUGCGCGUUGCUUCGAAUUAAACCACAUGCUCCACCGCUUGUGCAGGCCCCCGUCAAUUUCUUUGAGUUUUAGCCUUGCGGCCGUACUCCCCAGGCGGGAUGCUUAAUGCGUUAGCUGCGACGCUGGAGGGGUCAAUACCCCCAACAACCAGUCGACAUCGUUUAGGGCGUGGACUAC